GUGAAGGCAACUUUCAAGGUUAGUUUGCUCAACCAGGAUGGGCAACCGGUUCCCAAACGAGGAUGGGGAUUCAACAAAUUCAUCAAGAGGAAAGAUUUGGAGGAAUCAUCGAUUCUGACAGAUGAUUGCUUCCGCAUCAGGUGUGAUGUCACAUUCACGAAGAAGAUCCACACCUUUACCAGUGAGACACGGGCUGCGCGGUACGUGGUCGUCCCGCGUGACUUGCACCGCCAACUGCUCCACCUCUUGACAAGCAGGCAGGCAGGGGACGUGACUUUUGAUGUCGACGGUGAGCUGUUCCCGGCGCAUAGGUACAUGCUUGCUGCUCGGUCAUCGGUCUUCAUGGCUGAGCUCUUUGGUCCAAUGAAAGAGAAGGAGGCCACCUGCGUACGGAUCGAUGAUAUGGAAGCUAAGGUAUUCAAAGCCAUGCUUCACUUCAUCUACACCGACGCACUGCCAGAGAUUGACGAAAGUGAAGCUAUGGAGAUGGCACAACAUUUGCUGGUAGCGGCAGACAGGUAUAACCUCGACAGGCUCAAGUUGAUGUGCGAGGAGACCUUGUGCAACUACAUCAGCAAAGGCACAGCAGCCACCACGUUGGCGUUGGCUGUGCAGCAUGGCUGUGAAGGCCUCAAGGCGGCAUGCUUCUCGUUCCUCGCUUCACUCGACAACCUCAAGGCAGUCAUGGCGAGUGAUGGCUUUUCUCAUCUGAGGAGCAGCUUUCCCUCCAUCUUAGAGGAGCUGGUCACAAACCUUGCUCCCUGUUGA
rnacentral:rRNA from 1 species